GCCAAACCAGCAAGAAGAGAGAGAAAACAAAAACCAAAUCCUAGAGAGAGAAAAUCAAAGAAAAAGUGUGAAUUUUCAAGGAAAUUAAGUGAAAAAGGUGAGAUUUUUUCUAUUAAGCUUGAGUUUUCUUAUUCCCAAGCAUUUCUCUUUAUUUUCCAUGAUUAAAUUACAUGUUUUCAUGAUGAAUUCAAUUCUGAAAAAAUGGGUUAGGAGAGAGAAAGUUGUUGGAUUUAUUUGAUUUUAAUUUAUGUUAGUGUUUUUAGUUAGUUUAGCAUAUUUAGAAACAAAACAACAAGAAAAGAAUUUAUUUUCUCCCCCAACCAUUAAUGGCUGAAUUUACCAUGUAGUGAGUGAGGAUGAGUUUGAUUUUAUUCUAGGAGAAUUGGUUAAGGAAUAAUGAAUUAUGAGCCUAGAAAAAUAAUGNNNNNNNNNNNNNNNNNNNNNNNNNNNNNNNNNNNNNNNNNNNNNNNNNNNNNNNNNAUUAUGAAAUCAUGGUUUUUGAUAUGGAAAUUAAUGAAUUAUGGAAAGAAAAUCAAGUAGGAAAAAUUGUGACAAUGAUGCACCAUUUUGGCCGAAUUUUUCCAAGAAGGAAUAUGAAUGUGGCUUUGCUGAUUUUUGGGUUAUUUGGCUGGACAUUGGUGAUUUGAAGCAUUAGAAAAAGAAAUGGGAUCAAUUGGAGCUAAAUUGGAUGUGUAUUUCAAUUUAUCGGGUAAAAGACCGAAAUAGGUUAAUACAGUGUUUAGGCAAAAUUUAGACCUUUUGCAUUCCAUAUCAUGCAUUAGUAGUCUAAAUUUGUUUAAUUUCAAUUUAGUACCAAUGUGGUGAAUUUCUUGAUUUUGUAUUGUGUCAAGGUGGUGAGUCCUCCGAUAAAGGCAAGGGAAUUGCAUCCGAAGACCAGUAGUCUGAGUAUUUCGAAAAUCCCCACUCUAGACAUUGUGAGUAACCUUAUCAUCAUUUUAAUUAUCUAAAGUAUGUUUUAACUCGGUUUUGGUGAAAUUUAUAUGAAAAUGAGUUAAAUGGCUAAGUUUAGGUUUUGCAAACAAAAAUGUGUUUAAAUGAAAAGAUUUUAUAAAUUGUCUUGAAACGAAAUAACGAUUUUGAAAAUAGAGUAAUUAGAGACCACUGGUAUGUUGCAAAUUUAUGAUUGGAAAUUGAUGGCUUAUGUUAUAUUGUUCAUGACUGGUUGGGCUGUAUUUUAUGAAUUGUAUGAAUUAUUUUAUUUUACCCUUGCAAGCUGGGUAGUAUUAUAUUAGCCCUGUCAUGUUGUUAAAAUUUUAUUGUAUGGUGGGUUUAGCUUGCUGCAGUAGGCGAGUUUUGUGGACCAGCCUAUUAGAGGGGUACAAAAUCUAGAUAUAUAUAUAUGUACCUCAGUUGGAGAGGCGCGUAGGGUAUCUCUUGAGGUAUGGUUAGAGUUCACGUCACACCGAACCACCUCAUGACGAUGAACUCUGCUAACGCCAAGGAAUGACUGUAUUUUUCAAACUAAAAAUAUGUUUUACGAGUAUACAAAAUUUUAACAGCCUUGGCGGGCUCAAGUGUAUGCCUCUGAUCAAGGUGUCAUCCAGUAUAUUUGAUGGCAUGAGCCAACUGUUUAUGAAAGUCAUAAGCCCUAAUGAGAAAUUAAAUGAAAUACAACCGUUUGCAUGGGUUGGAAUGAAUUUUCAAAUUGUUAAAUACUUAAAAUAAUGGGAUAUUUUAAUUGUCUCAUUUUACUCGGCUUUAGCUUAUUUAAAUGGUGUUUGUUUACUCACUAGGAUUUUAUAAUCUCACCACCCUCCUUUCCACCCAUUUCAGGAUCAGAGUAGUCUGUAAAUAGCUGGUUCCAUCGGGGAUUUCCAUUGGAUUGCGUUUUCCAAACUGUAAGUUCACAGCUUCUUUAAUUCUAAUUAUUAUGGGCCCACUUGAUUAUUGUAAAUUUAAUAGUUUAUUUUGCUACAAUAUGAUGAAUUUAUUUUGUUUUUACGUUACAAAAAGUAUUUACGCAUAACUCCAAAAUUACUGUUUAUAAGAAAAUAAAAUAUUUUAUUGAAUAUCUUGUUUUAUCUUCUUAUUAUAUUUAAACAAUUAUAAUUUUAUUUUAAAUAAAGGUUUUAGAUGCCUAAACUUAUUUUUAAUUGUAAAUUAUGCGAUUGGUACUUGUUUACUGCAUUUUUAACUGGUUUCAAAAUUUUCAGUGAAAAAUGACCAAAAUGCCCCUGUGAGAUAAUUUUUAUUUUAUCAGUUUUAAGUUGGAAAUAGCUCAAAAUCCUUUAGAACAUAAAAUUUGGCAACGGUUACUCACCGAGGGAAAUGAGAAACUGAUAUUAAGCCUUGCGGGGUUCCGAUUGACAUUUCGGGAGAUGAGUGCCCAUUGGGGCACCGCGACGGUUGUCACGGGCUUGAGGGGAGUUCCGGGUUGUGACAAAUUAAGAUGAGACUUGGAAAGGAACCUUAAAGGAAAAUUUUGGACAACUUUAACCUUGAGAAGUUGAGUUAUUGAUUAAAGGGAUUAGUUAAGAUCAUAUGAGGUAUGUGAUUGUCAUGAUUUAUUGAAAUGCUUCGUGAUAUAAGUUAAGAUGUAUCUAGUAAGCACUCGAUCAUUAAAGUACUGGAGUUUUGUUUAUGGGAAUAUGGUUACUAAUAGUUACUAGAUUUGAAUCAUCCAUGAUGUUAAAUAUAUCUGAAAUAAAUAAAGCUUGUUUUGAUCUUUACAUAUUAUGACAUGCUCGAAUGGAAUUUGUAUGGAAGUAUGUAAAAUAGAAUAGACGUUGGUUGAUGAUUUAGACCCACAGUCAAUGGUGGAAUAAAUGCUUGAAUGUUGGAAGGUUUGAUAAAAGGUCAAGGUAGAGGAAAUGUGGAUGGUUAAGUAAACAUGUAUAAUUGAUGAUUUAAGGAUGAUUUGAUUGAUAUGUGACCAGAAUUAAUAGCAUAUUUGAAUUUUCUUCAUAACAUGAAGAAUGGUAUCAUUUUGAUCCAACAAGAGCAGUACACAUAAUUCUAUAUCUUAUGUUAAGAAUGGCCAACGGAAGUGAUGCAAAAGAAUUUAGAAUUUUGAUUGUUCACCCCACGUCGAUUCGAAUUUGAGGACAAAUUCAUUAUAAGUUGGGGAAAUUGUAGUAUCUCGUACUUUGAGGUGGUGGCUAAUAAUGCUUACCGGCUACUAAUUGAGGUUGAUUAUUGAGUAAAAGGGGUAAUUCAGAAGUAAACCUGCGAAACCUCGACCUCUAUAGACAUGUAACUAGAAGUAGAUACGAUAAAACAGAUUAGGGGUAAUUUCAUCAUUUUCUUUAGUGAGCCCCUAAAAGUAUGCUUUCAAACAUUAUUAAGGCUUAAGUAGGCCUAAGGCACAAAUGAAUGAUGAAAAUAAGAAUAAGAUGACGAAGGAAAUAGAAAUAAUGAUGAUUUCCAAGGUAGGGGUAAAAUGGUCAUUUUGCAUCUCAAGUAUAAAUUUUUAAGUUUUCACGAACUUGAGUACUUCUAGACCAUUAUGGACUUUGUCUCAAUGUCCAAAGAGUAAAAAGUUGAACCGAAGGAAAGAAGAAGACAAAGUCACCUUAUGGAGGGCAUUUUGGUAAAUUACAUGAAAAAUGGAUAAACUUUAGACAUAAAUAUCCAAAGCUCCAGUAAUUUCCAGUAGCUUCCAACCAUUUCUUCUUCUCUUCCUAGCUCAUGUUUCUUUAUCUCCAUGGGAGCCUCCCAUAAAGCUUCCAUAGCUCUUUAAAUUAACUUCAAUUUACAUGCUUUGGUACACUUUUUCAUAAAACCUUUGGUACUCUUUCACUCCCUCACCUUAAAACCCUCAAAAGUCUUUCUUUAGCACUUUUUCUUACUAGUUGGAAGUUUUAGAGAGAGAAAGAGAGACUUGCCAUAGUAGCUUGAAAACUCUUGAAAAUGAGUUCAACUACAAGUCCACAAGGUGAGAGAAGAGUUAGAGUAGAACUUUAGUAAUGAAAUUGUGUUCACUGCUUUAGGCAUUGAACUGUAAGGUAUGGACUUGUAUCCACCUUGUGAACACCUUGAUGAGAUAAAUUCGAGAGAUUUUCACAAUGAGAAAACAUUAAAGCCCAAGGAGCAAAUAGCUAUAUAGUCACGUUAGGGCUCGUGACUGAUAUGUCACAUAAGUAUAAAGAUAAGUUGCAAAAACGAAGAUGUCUAGAAAUGUUGGUUUAAGGCAACGAUUAUCUUGCCAUUAUGCAGACCCGAUGAGGUUUGACAUUUGAAAUAACUUUAAGGAAUCUAAAGUUAAGUAUGUUUGCAUGUGACAUAUGACUAAUAAGUUGGUUAUGACUCGGGAAUUAUAAAGAUUGGUUAAGUCAUGAGGAUGCAUGCAAGAAUAUCGUUAAUUAUUGAAAUGCAUUGUGGUAUAAGUUGAAAUUACUUAGAGAGCACUCGAUCAUGAAAAUAUUGGAGAUUAUUUUCAGGAAUAUAGUUCUAUCGGUUACUGGAUUUGAAUCAUUUGCAAUGUUGAAUAUAUAGGAAAUGGAUAAAACAUUUUAAUCCUUGUGUAUUAUGAAAUGCUUGAAUGGGAUUUGUAUGGAAGUAUGUAAAACAAAAUAGAGAUUGAUUGAUGAUUUAGACCCACAGUCAAUGGUGGGAUAAAUGCUUGAAUGUUGAAAAGUUUGAUAAAAGGUCAAGGUAGAGGAAUCGUGAAUGGUUAUAUAAACAUGCAUGAUUGAUAAUUUAAGGUUGAUUUGAUUGCGGUGCAACUAGAAUUAAUGACAUAUUUGAAUUCUCUUUAUAAAAUGAAGUAUAGUAUUAAUGUGAUUCAAGAAGUGUAGUACACAUAAUUGUAUAUACUAUGGUAUUGUCGAGUUUUCUAUAAAGAUUGGAAGAUGAUAUAAAGUAUAAACCAAGAUCCUAUGUUCAGAACGGCCAACAAAAGUGAUGUGGUAGAAUUUUAAGACUUUCAUUAUUCACCUUACGUUGAUUUGAAUUCGAAGACGAAUUCAUUUUAAGUGGGAGAAACUGUAACGCCCCGUACUUUGAUAUGUUGAUUAAUAGAACAUGUCGGAUAUCAAUUGAGGAUGAAUUAAUGAUAUAAAAAGUGAUUUGGAAGUGAAUCGGGGCAUAAUAAGAUACUUUGAGUGCCAAGGAGACAAGUGAAAAAUUUUAGAAGAAAAUAAUAUUAAAAUAUUAAUAUUUUAUUAAGUGUCGAAAUUUUCAAUGAAAAAGGAAUAUAUGGUCAAUCUAAGUGGGGGAGAAGAAGAACGAGAAAAUUUCAAAAAAAAUUGACGUUAAUAGGGCUCACGUGUCUUUAUUAAAUAAAGCUAGCGCAAGUAAGUAAAUAUUUAAAUAUUACGGUGUACUGCAUUGAAGUAUAAAAUUGAUAUUUUAUUGAUACAAGUAUUAAGGAAGAAAAAUGGAAAGAAAUUAGAAUUAAAAGAUUGUGGGAGGAUACAAUUAAAAAGGAUGAAAACCUUGGAGGGUAAAAUGGUAAUUUUGACAUUAGUUUGGUUGACUCUUCAUCCUUAUCCCAUGGCUGGUUCUUAUCUCCAGCCAAAAGAUAUUUUCAUCUUAUCUUCCAUGCUCCUAAUGCCAUUUUCAUGCUCCCACGCCAUUUCACCUUACUACCAUGCAUUUGAAAAGAAAAAUGGCUUUGUUUUGCAAGGAAAAUCGUACUCUUGGAAAAUAAAUUGAUGAGAUCAAUUGGAAGAAAGGAGAAAGGAAAGAAGAAAGGAGAAAGAAAAAGAGAGAAAGGAAGAAAAAGCUUGGUUUUGGUGAUUCAAGUAAGGAAAGGUAAGGAUUCUUAUUUUUAGCUUGAGUAAUCUUUGAAAAUGAGUUAGUGACUAAGAGAAAUGUCUCGUGCCAACAAAGAUUGGCUUGAUUGGAGAAAAAUUGGUGACAUACAAGCCAAUAAACCCUGUGGGUACAUGAUGGACUCAAGGUGGAAAAGGAAAGCGAUAAGCUUAACACUAUGUUUAAAGCCUACAGUUAGUUGGAUAUUGUGAGGAAUUAUGGUUGUUGAAAAGAUCUAUUUGCAUAAGCUUGUUGAAAAUUGUUAAGUUUGUAUGGCAUGCUGUUUGAAAGAAAUGAAAAAGGAAUAUUGUGGAUGGAGGAUUAAGAAACAAAGUAUUGAAAGUUAGAUAGAUAAUGAUGCAUGUAAACUUGGAAAUAAUUGAGUGAAAGUGAGAAUGAUUGUUGCUGCCAUAUAUGUGGGUUAUGUGUGAAAAUAUAAGACGAAUUUGAAUGAAAAUGGCUGGAAAAGGUUGAUAUGGGUGCUAGAGUCAUAAAUAAGUUACCGGUAAUUAUAAUUUAAAGAAUUACGCAAGCAAAGGAUAAAGGCAACUUUGGUAAAAAUGUGUCAAGAUGUAUAUGAAUAUGCAAUGUUAAGUGAGGAAAAGUGGUGAUUCUAGCAUAGUAUGAGUUAUUAACAUGAUGGUAAUGUUUGAAUAAGGAAGAAAAUGGGAAUGAUAAACACUAAGAUUAUUCGAUUUGGUUUAUUGCCAAGAAGUGUGCAAGUGAAAAAAAAAAAAGACACCGUGGUGAUCAACUAAAGGAGAAAACACACCCGGAUAAGUGGCGAAGUGAUAUCUCGCCAUUGUAAGGUGAGUAGAGGGUGCCUAUUUCAAAAAUUUCCAUAGCUAUAUAAUGUUAUACGUUUUAUAAAUGUUGUCAAAUUUCGUUAAAUGCAAUUGUGGAAAGCAUGAGCCGUUAGCCUCGAUAGGUGAUUUCUAAAUGGAUUUAUAAUGAUUUAUACACUGUUAUUGUAGAAAGCAUGGGCUGGUAAAACUCGUAGUAAAUUGUGGAUGCAAGUUGUUUUGAAAAUUGUUUUGGAUAUAUCUAUAGAUGAGCUAUAUACGUAAAGUGUUUUAGAAACCGGGAAACAAGCCCUUUUAUAUUGUUUUGCAUUCAAAAUUUGUGCCUUGUAUUUUUGUGUGAUAUGCAUAGUUUAAAUGAAAUAGUUAAAUGAUUUAAAAUGCAAGAUUUGAGCAUCGGUUUUAGUCCGAUCUUUGUAUAAGAGAAUACAACAUGCCUUUUUAUGUGAAAAGUAAUUUGAAGGCUUAUUGAACCUUGGUUUCAAAUGGUUUUAAGCGAAAGACUUGGAAACUUCAAUGUGAUUUUUGAAAAUGGUUUGGACAAACCAAGUGCGUCCAGAGUAGGUCGACUGUCACUUCGGUUAAUUGUGACUCUUGUGCAUAAGUGAGCUCUAAAUAGAGAACAUUUGUGUCACCGACGGGCGGUUAGGCGUGGCGAGGGCACGACCUAUGAUAUGUAUACGUGGCUAGGCCACAAGUGAUCCAGUAGAGUAAGACUCCCGGAUGUGCACUGUAACGAUCACUUGAUUCUCCGAUGUCGGUCAACAUCGUGGAGACUAUCAUGGCUAUGGGAAUCCGGUGGAGUAAGACUCUCAGAUUGUUAUUAUGUGGAACUGGGUCCAUGUGCUGAUAUUAUAUUUUUCUACUCGAGAGCCUUGUGAGUUUUUCAACACAUACUCUUUGGCAUGGUGGAGGGUUCAGAUUUUCUCUGUAGCUCCCCUAGUUUAAAUAAAAGCUUUCCGUGCUUACUCGACAAUCAUGAGUUGGUUUAUGUGGCUAUACACUUUGAUUUCUUUACAUUCUUUACAUUUUGGAAGCGUGCAUACCUUUAUAUCGUAUUUCAUAUUUUGAUGGCAAAUGAUAUUUUCAAUAAUUGAAACUCUUACGGUUACACUUAUUUUCGGCACUAUUUUGCCAAAGAAAGCAUUGUAUUAUGAUUUUACGAUAUUAUUUUUACAAGGCACAAAUACCCUUAUUGUGAUUAGUUUAUAAGAUUAGCAUUUCAUACUCUGAUUUUAUCAUUCAAAUGAUUUACUUAUUGCUUGUUUCCCAUCUACUCCCUGCUCACAGAGCUGAUGAUCACUGAGUCUGUGAGACUCACUCCCUCAUUUUCCCUUUUGCAGAUAGUGAUCGCCCUAGCGUGAAAUCUUGACACUUAUUGUAGUACCUCGUAUUUUGAUAGGUAGCUAAUAAAGUCUACGGAUGCCAAUUGAGGUUGAUUACUGAGUUAAAAGGGUAAUUCAGAAGUGAACCCAUGAAAUCUCGAUCUCCAUAGACACAUGACUAAAAGUAGACGCGAUAAUGCGGAUCAGGG
rnacentral:lncRNA from 1 species